AAGCGCUUGCAACCAGACUUGCGGGCGGUUGAUCAUCCGAGCUUUUGCCCGGUGCACUCGAUCGUUCUCAGGCCAGCAUCGGUUUUGGUGGGUGGAUAAAGGCCUUGGGAAUGUAGCUUCUUUCGGGGAGUGUUAUAGCCCAUUGUGUAAUACCCUGUGGUGGACUGAGGUUCGCGCAUCUGCAAGGAUGCUGGCGUAAUGGU
rnacentral:rRNA from 1 species